AGUUAGUAAGCGUCUGCUGUGGUUUCAGGCUUACAGCCCGAGUCCCAGCCAGCUGCAGAAGCGGCACUUUACGAACGACACGCCGGUGAAACUGCAGCCCGGUUUACUCACAUCCAGAACCAAAUCAGCUUCAGCGGAAAAGUGUCUCCAGCAGCUUCAAUUCAUCGGUUUUGUCCCAGCCAUGGCUGUGAACGUGUACUCGACUUCAGUGACAAGUGAAAACCUCAGCCGCCAUGACAUGCUCACAUGGAUAAACGAGUCUUUACAGAUGAGUCAUGCCAAGAUCGAGCAACUGUGCACAGGUGCUGCUUACUGUCAAUUCAUGGACAUGCUGUUCCCAUCAUGUAUUCCACUGAAGAAAGUCAAAUUCCAAGCCAAACUUGAGCACGAAUACAUCCAUAACUUCAAACUCCUUCAAGGCAGCUUCAAAAAGAUGGGAGUUAGCAAAAUUAUUCCUGUUGACAAGCUUGUGAAGGGCAAGUUCCAGGAUAACUUUGAGUUCGUGCAAUGGUUUAAGAAGUUUUUUGAUGCAAAUUAUGAUGGGAAAGAAUAUGAUCCGGUGGCAGCUCGACAGGGACAAGAUAUGCCCACCAAUCAGAGUCCAGCAGCAGCUACUGCUAACAAACCAAAGAAACCCAGCUCAGACACAGGCAUCACACCUGCAGUCAAGCCAAUGGCCCCUGUUGCUCCACAGCGUUCAGCCACAACACUUAAAUCUGCUCCAAAAACAGCUCCAGCUGCAACGCGAGGCACAGGAACAGGCGCCGGUGAUGAAGAGAAGGGUGCACUCACUCAGAUGAUAAAUGACCUGAAGGGCACUAUUGCUGACAUGGAAAAGGAAAGGGAUUUCUACUUUGGCAAACUGAGAAACAUCGAGCUCAUCUGCCAAGAGAAAGAGGGUGAGGGUGAUCCUACACUGCAAAGGAUUGUGGAUAUCCUGUAUGCCACAGAUGAAGGUUUUGUAAUUCCAGAGGAUGAGGCGGGGGAACCAGAGGAGUUUUGACCAAUCCAGGGGUGACUGUUUUAAAACAAAAAAAUGACCCUGCUGGACACACAAAUCACACGAGACCAUGAGGAACCACUUGACAUGAGUCAUGAGAGGCUUUGGGUUUGUCUUAACUGGCCAAAGCUGUUGAGUUGCAAAUACCACCAUCUUCAGGCAGCUUUUGAUGCAAAAUCGGAGCAAGUUAGGCAGUUUUUUUGUUGCAUGCUUUAUUUUACAUUCAGCAUCCCUUUUUUGCUAUGUAUUAAAAUCAUAUACUGCAAAAAAGUACUUAAUUUGUGACUUUUGCUUGCAAGCAAAAUGUGUUGUAAAUCAGUCCACAUUUCAGCAAU